UUUAUGGAGAGUUUGAUCCUGGCUCAGGAUGAACGCUGGCGGCGUGCCUAAUACAUGCAAGUCGAGCGAACAGACAAGGAGCUUGCUCCUUUGACGUUAGCGGCGGACGGGUGAGUAACACGUGGGUAACCUACCUAUAAGACUGGGAUAACUUCGGGAAACCGGAGCUAAUACCGGAUAAUAUUUCGAACCGCAUGGUUCGAUAGUGAAAGAUGGUUUUGCUAUCACUUAUAGAUGGACCCGCGCCGUAUUAGCUAGUUGGUAAGGUAACGGCUUACCAAGGCGACGAUACGUAGCCGACCUGAGAGGGUGAUCGGCCACACUGGAACUGAGACACGGUCCAGACUCCUACGGGAGGCAGCAGUAGGGAAUCUUCCGCAAUGGGCGAAAGCCUGACGGAGCAACGCCGCGUGAGUGAUGAAGGUCUUCGGAUCGUAAAACUCUGUUAUUAGGGAAGAACAUACGUGUAAGUAACUAUGCACGUCUUGACGGUACCUAAUCAGAAAGCCACGGCUAACUACGUGCCAGCAGCCGCGGUAAUACGUAGGUGGCAAGCGUUAUCCGGAAUUAUUGGGCGUAAAGCGCGCGUAGGCGGUUUUUUAAGUCUGAUGUGAAAGCCCACGGCUCAACCGUGGAGGGUCAUUGGAAACUGUAAAACUUGAGUGCAGAAGAGGAAAGUGGAAUUCCAUGUGUAGCGGUGAAAUGCGCAGAGAUAUGGAGGAACACCAGUGGCGAAGGCGACUUUCUGGUCUGUAACUGACGCUGAUGUGCGAAAGCGUGGGGAUCAAACAGGAUUAGAUACCCUGGUAGUCCACGCCGUAAACGAUGAGUGCUAAGUGUUAGGGGGUUUCCGCCCCUUAGUGCUGCAGCUAACGCAUUAAGCACUCCGCCUGGGGAGUACGACCGCAAGGUUGAAACUCAAAGGAAUUGACGGGGACCCGCACAAGCGGUGGAGCAUGUGGUUUAAUUCGAAGCAACGCGAAGAACCUUACCAAAUCUUGACAUCCUUUGACAACUCUAGAGAUAGAGCCUUCCCCUUCGGGGGACAAAGUGACAGGUGGUGCAUGGUUGUCGUCAGCUCGUGUCGUGAGAUGUUGGGUUAAGUCCCGCAACGAGCGCAACCCUUAAGCUUAGUUGCCAUCAUUAAGUUGGGCACUCUAAGUUGACUGCCGGUGACAAACCGGAGAAAGGUGGGGAUGACGUCAAAUCAUCAUGCCCCUUAUGAUUUGGGCUACACACGUGCUACAAUGGACAAUACAAAGGGCAGCGAAACCGCGAGGUCAAGCAAAUCCCAUAAAGUUGUUCUCAGUUCGGAUUGUAGUCUGCAACUCGACUACAUGAAGCUGGAAUCGCUAGUAAUCGUAGAUCAGCAUGCUACGGUGAAUACGUUCCCGGGUCUUGUACACACCGCCCGUCACACCACGAGAGUUUGUAACACCCGAAGCCGGUGGAGUAACCAUUUGGAGCUAGCCGUCGAAGGUGGGACAAAUGAUUGGGGUGAAGUCGUAACAAGGUAGCCGUAUCGGAAGGUGCGGCUGGAUCACCUCCUUU
rnacentral:rRNA from 1 species